GUUGUCGGCCCCCGCGCCAGCAGCGGUACCGACGGCCGGUGACCUACGCGGAGUAAAACUUAGCACACGUCUAGUGGGCGUGGCCUACGUAGGGAGAGGUACCGGCAGGUGCCGGUCCCCGAACGAGCAGCGGAACAGGCGCCAUUGACCUGCGUGCGGGAGAGGUACCGUUGGCGUCGGUCUCGAAGCGAUCAGCGGUACUGGUUGGACGUUAGUCGGCGCCCCCGCUGCUCAAACACGACCUCGGCCCCUAACGACCUUGGUCAACCACCUGCACGACGUUCCAACUGUCGAGUGUCCUCCUUCGACGUAGGUCGCCGCUCCUCCCGACGUAGGUUACAGCAAGUUUGCGGCCCUCAACGUUGGUACAUGCGGCCUCGAUGUUGGCCACUGGCCCCCACAACGUUCUCCCUCACCGGCAAAAACGACUACGCAGAAAAAAACCACUUGGUUUAAAAACAAAAAACGACCUUGGCUACUUAAAGAAACGACCUUAUCUAUAUUAAAAAACGAAGUAGCCGACGUCUCGAGAGUUUACAAAGUACAACAAAAACGACCCCG
rnacentral:rRNA from 1 species